rnacentral:rRNA from 1 species
UGGGGAAUAUUGCACAAUGGGCGCAAGCCUGAUGCAGCCAUGCCGCGUGUGUGAAGAAGGCCUUCGGGUUGUAAAGCACUUUCAGCGAGGAGGAAGGUGGUGAGCUUAAUACGCUCAUCAAUUGACGUUACUCGCAGAAGAAGCACCGGCUAACUCCGUGCCAGCAGCCGCGGUAAUACGGAGGGUGCAAGCGUUAAUCGGAAUUACUGGGCGUAAAGCGCACGCAGGCGGUUUGUUAAGUCAGAUGUGAAAUCCCCGGGCUCAACCUGGGAACUGCAUUUGAAACUGGCAAGCUAGAGUCUCGUAGAGGGGGGUAGAAUUCCAGGUGUAGCGGUGAAAUGCGUAGAGAUCUGGAGGAAUACCGGUGGCGAAGGCGGCCCCCUGGACGAAGACUGACGCUCAGGUGCGAAAGCGUGGGGCAGCAAACAGGAUUAGAUACCCUGGUAGUCCACGCUGUAAACGAUGUCGAUUUUGGAGGUUGUGCCCCUUGAGGCGUGGCUUCCGGAGCUAACGCGUUAAAUCGACCGCCUGGGGAGUACGGCCGCAAGGUUAAAACUCAAAGG